AUUAUCAGAUUCUUUUGAGCAAUUACAACGCCUCCAGUCGUUUCGUCACAUUGAUGGGAUUGUCUGACAACGUACGGAUUAAAAGCGUUUUCCUUGCUCGAAUCAAUGUUCUUCGCCCACGCGGUACAUUCGACCGUAACGAGUUUGUUAGCUGAAAAACAUGAAAAGUGCAACGCAACAAUUGGGGUGAGAUACCCAAUUUGUCCACGAAAUGGGAAAUAGUCUACGGAAAAUCCGGGGUAGGGAAGGUACUCGAUUUCGCCCAAAUUGUCAUUAUCAAAACCAUGUGCACCAGUACAGGAAAUCCAAAGAUACCCCUGUUCGAAAUUAAUGCAUGAAUAAACAGAUUUUAUAAGUCUUUGUAAAUCAUGAGGCAUAUCAGGAGGUAAGGAAGAAUUUUGAUUGUAGUAUUGCGGAAUCCACUCAAAGACCUAUAGUAAAGUGAAUGUUUAUGAGAA